rnacentral:rRNA from 1 species
GUGGGGAAUAUUGGACAAUGGGCGAAAGCCUGAUCCAGCCAUGCCGCGUGUGUGAAGAAGGUCUUCGGAUUGUAAAGCACUUUAAGUUGGGAGGAAGGGCAGUAAGCUAAUACCUUGCUGUUUUGACGUUACCGACAGAAUAAGCACCGGCUAACUUCGUGCCAGCAGCCGCGGUAAUACGAAGGGUGCAAGCGUUAAUCGGAAUUACUGGGCGUAAAGCGCGCGUAGGUGGUUUUGUAAGUUGAAGGUGAAAUCCCCGGGCUCAACCUGGGAACUGCCUCCAAAACUGCAUGACUAGAGUACGGUAGAGGGUAGUGGAAUUUCCUGUGUAGCGGUGAAAUGCGUAGAUAUAGGAAGGAACACCAGUGGCGAAGGCGACUACCUGGACUGAUACUGACACUGAGGUGCGAAAGCGUGGGGAGCAAACAGGAUUAGAAACCCUAGUAGUCC